GAUGAACGCUAGCGGCAGGCCUAACACAUGCAAGUCGAGGGGCAGCACAGAAACAGCAAUGUUUUGGUGGCGACCGGCGGACGGGUGCGUAACGCGUAUGCAACCUACCUUCAACAGGGGGAUAACGGAGAGAAAUUUCCACUAAUACCCCAUAACAUCGAUCAAGGCAUCUUGAUUGGUUGAAAACUCCGGUGGUUAAAGAUGGGCAUGCGUUGUAUUAGGUAGUUGGUGAGGUAAUGGCUCACCAAGCCUACGAUACAUAGGGGGACUGAUAGGUUUGCCCCCGACACUGGUACUGAGAAGCGGACCAGACUCCGACGGGAGGCAGCAGUGAGGAAUAUUGGUCAAUGGGGGCAACCCUGAACCAGCCAUGCCGCGUGCAGGAAGACGGCUCUAUGAGUUGUAAACUGCUUUUAAACAGGGAUAAAGCACAGUAUGUAUACUGUGUUGAAGGUACUGUAAGAAUAAGGAUCGGCUAACUCCGUGCCAGCCGCCGCCGUAA
rnacentral:rRNA from 1 species